rnacentral:rRNA from 1 species
AAAACCAAUGCCCUUCGGGGCUUCCUGGUGAUUCAUAAUAACUUCUCGAAUCGCACGGCCUUGCGCCGGCGAUGGUUCAUUCAAAUUUCUGCCCUAUCAACUUUCGACGGCUGGGUAUUGGCCAGCCGUGGUGACAACGGGUAACGGAGGGUUAGGGCUCGACCCCGGAGAAGGAGCCUGAGAAACGGCUACUACAUCCAAGGAAGGCAGCAGGCGCGCAAAUUACCCAAUCCCGACACGGGGAGGUAGUGACAAUAAAUACUGAUACAGGGCUCUUUCGGGUCUUGUAAUUGGAAUGAGUACAAUUUAAAUCCCUUAACGAGGAACAAUUGGAGGGCAAGUCUGGUGCCAGCAGCCGCGGUAAUUCCAGCUCCAAUAGCGUAUAUUAAGUUGUUGCAGUUAAAAAGCUCGUAGUUGAACCUUGGGCCCGUCCUGCCGGUCCGCCUCACCGCGAGUACUGGUCCGGAUGGGCCUUUCUUUCUGGGGAAUCCCAUGGCCUUCACUGGCUGUGGCGGGGAACCAGGACUUUUAC